rnacentral:rRNA from 1 species
GACGAACGCUGGCGGCGUGCUUAACACAUGCAAGUCGAACGGUGAAGCGCCUUCCUUUUUGGUGGGUGUGGAUGAGUGGCGAACGGGUGAGUAACACGUGAGUAACCUGCCCCCUUCUUCUGGAUAACCGCAUGAAAGUGUGGCUAAUACGGGAUAUUCUGGGUCUGUCGCAUGAUGGGUCUGGGAAAGAUAUUGUUUCGGUGGGGGAUGGGCUCGCGGCCUAUCAGCUUGUUGGUGGGGUGAUGGCCUACCAAGGCGGUGACGGGUAGCCGGCCUGAGAGGAUGGACGGUCACAGUAGGAAUGAGAGGCGGACCAGACUACUACGGGAGGCAGCGGUGGGGAAUAUUGCACAGUGGGAGCAAGCCUGAUGCAGCGACGCGGCGUGAGGGAUGGAGGCCUGCGGGUUGUGAACCUCUUCCGCCAGUGAAGCAGGCCUGCCUCGUUUGUGGGUGGGUUGACGGUAGCUGGAGAAGAAGCGCCGGCUAACUACGUG